UACGAAGGGGGCUAGCGUUGCUCGGAAUCACUGGGCGUAAAGCGCACGUAGGCGGAUUGUUAAGUCAGGGGUGAAAUCCUGGAGCUCAACUCCAGAACUGCCUUUGAUACUGGCAAUCUCGAGUCCGGGAGAGGUGAGUGGAACUCCGAGUGUAGAGGUGAAAUUCGUAGAUAUUCGCAAGAACACCAGUGGCGAAGGCGGCUCACUGGCCCGGUACUGACGCUGAGGCACGAAAGCGUGGGGAGCAAACAGG
rnacentral:rRNA from 1 species